GACGAACGCUAGCUACAGGCUUAACACAUGCAAGUCGAGGGGUAACGAGAGGAAAGCUUGCUUUCCUUGUCGACGACCGGCGCACGGGUGAGUAACGCGUAUCCAACCUGCCCCCAACUAGGGAAUAACCUUGCGAAAGUAAGACUAAUACCCUAUAAUUUCCUCAGAUGCCAUCUGACGAGGAAUAAAGAUUUAUCGGUUGUGGAUGGGGAUGCGUCUGAUUAGCUUGUUGGCGGGGUAACGGCCCACCAAGGCAACGAUUAGUAGGGGUUCGGAGAGGAAGGUCCCCCACAUUGGAACUGAGACACGGUCCAAACUCCUACGGGAGGCAGCAGUGAGGAAUAUUGGUCAAUGGGCGGAAGCCUGAACCAGCCAAGUAGCGUGCAGGAUGACGGCCCUAUGGGUUGUAAACUGCUUUUAUACAGGAAUAAAGUUAGCCACGUGUGGUUAUUUGUAGGUACUGUAUGAAUAAGGACCGGCUAAUUCCGUGCCAGCCGCCGCAGUAA
rnacentral:rRNA from 1 species